CCAAGUCCAAUGGACACUAGACAAUCUAUAUCUUGAACAUAGGACACACAUACGGCCGCUGGUAUUCCCACAUGAAUUCAUUCAAGAUUUAAAUAAAUGGACGUUCCCAAAAUGUCGCUCACCGUCAUCUAAGUCUGGAUCUAAAGGCCUAGCAUUAGAAUUGUAGAUAGAUCUAGACAUUCACUUAAUCGGAGGAUUGGGGCGGGGUAAAUAAUGUUCUAAUUUUAAAAAAUCAAUCGUUCAUUAGUUAUUAAGAAUGAAAUAAUUGCACUUACAAAAACUAAUCAGCUUCAUAAAGUAGGAAUUGUUAUUUUAAAAAACAAAACUUUUUAAAAUGUUAGGCCUACUUUCAAUGCAAAUAAACAGUCGAU